rnacentral:rRNA from 1 species
GAUGAACGCUGGCGGCGCGCUUAACACAUGCAAGUCGAACGGAAAGGCCUGCUUUUCCUUGUGGAUUGCGGGUACUCGAGUGGCGAACGGGUGAGUAACACGUGAGUGAUCUGCCCCCAACUUGGGUAUAAGCCCGGGAAACUGGGUCUAAUUCCCGAUAGGACUGCAGGGUGGUGGCUGGGGUGGUAAACGAUUUUCUAGUGGUUGGGGAUGAGCUCGCUGCCUAUCAGCUUGUUGGGGGGGUAAUGGCCGAGCAAGUAGGUGACGGGUCGCCGGCCUGGAAGGGUGAACGGGCAACUUGGAAACGGGAUACAGCCCAGAGGCCUGCAGCAGUAAGCAGUGGGGAAUAAUGGACAAUGGGCGGAAGCCUGAAGGAGGGACGCGGCGUGAGGGAUUACGGCUUGUGGGUUGUAAUCGCCAGUGGACAGCGAGGAAGCGACCUGGUUGGAAGGGUAGUGACGGUAGUGGUAGAAGAAGCAACGGCUAACUACGUG